GAAUUGCAAUUAGCAAUGAUCAACUUACCACCUUGCUCUUAAGAUUUGGAGAUUAUAAAAUGAAACUCAAUUUUGAAGAUUAUUUGUGCUGCAUGGUACGACUGAAAUCAGCCUACAAAAGGUUUCAGAGGCUGACAAAUGAUGGCAAAGGAGUUUAUCUUACCCAAGACAAGUGGCUGAAAAUAAUGAUGUCCUGCUAGUGGGGUUCAUACUGAUGAUGCUGCAGCAAACUCCAUAUUGGAACCGUCUUAGCUGAACUUCUUAUAUCAACUUUUCAUCCUCCUUAUGGGGUUUUUUGUCAAUUAAAUUUGAGCAUUAUUGUAUCUUUCCCAAGUUUUCCCAAAACCAAACUGCUGCCAAAUGCGUGUCUUCUAAACAUGAAACCAGAAUGGCUUGUCGAAAUGCAACUUCUAUAUCUUCUUCACCAAAAUCUUCUAGGAGGACUUUUUGCAAAAUAUAGGAUGAUCAUGGGUUUGGGUGGUCUAAUCUUAUGCACGAGAUGAUUAGUAAUUUGUCUACCUCAGGCACAAGUGAUUAAAGGCCAAUCUGGGAUUGUACAGCUGUGGGUUUGGAGCCCAAUGGGGUUUCCCUGCUGAGACUUGAUUAAGCCUAAAAUAUGGCACAGGAGGUGCUUAUAGUUGUCUGUGACAAAUGCAGAAAUAAAGUAAAGGCAUUAUCCAGGUCUGGCACAGGCACCUCAUUCAUUCUAGAUUUUGUUCUUGGUUUCUUUGUACCCAUCAUAUU